GACGAACGCUGGCGGCGUGCUUAACACAUGCAAGUCGAACGGAAAGGCCCUGCCUUUGUGGGGUGCUCGAGUGGCGAACGGGUGAGUAACACGUGAGUAACCUGCCCUUGACUUUGGGAUAACUUCAGGAAACUGGGGCUAACACCGGAUAGGAGCUCCUGCUGCAUGGUGGGGGUUGGAAAGUUUCGGCGGUUGGGGAUGGACUCGCGGCUUAUCAGCUUGUUGGUGGGGUAGUGGCUUACCAAGGCUUUGACGGGUAGCCGGCCUGAGAGGGUGACCGGCCACAUUGGGACUGAGAUACGGCCCAGACUCCUACGGGAGGCAGCAGUGGGGAAUAUUGCACAAUGGGCGGAAGCCUGAUGCAGCAACGCCGCGUGCGGGAUGACGGCCUUCGGGUUGUAAACCGCUUUCGCCUGUGACGAAGCGUGAGUGACGGUAAUGGGUAAAGAAGCACCGGCUAACUACGUG
rnacentral:rRNA from 1 species